rnacentral:rRNA from 1 species
AGAGUUUGAUCCUGGCUCAGAUUGAACGCUGGCGGCAGGCCUAACACAUGCAAGUCGAACGGUAACAGGAAGCAGCUUGCUGCUUCGCUGACGAGUGGCGGACGGGUGAGUAAUGUCUGGGAAACUGCCUGAUGGAGGGGGAUAACUACUGGAAACGGUAGCUAAUACCGCAUAACGUCGCAAGACCAAAGAGGGGGACCUUCGGGCCUCUUGCCAUCGGAUGUGCCCAGAUGGGAUUAGCUAGUAGGUGGGGUAACGGCUCACCUAGGCGACGAUCCCUAGCUGGUCUGAGAGGAUGACCAGCCACACUGGAACUGAGACACGGUCCAGACUCCUACGGGAGGCAGCAGUGGGGAAUAUUGCACAAUGGGCGCAAGCCUGAUGCAGCCAUGCCGCGUGUAUGAAGAAGGCCUUCGGGUUGUAAAGUACUUUCAGCGGGGAGGAAGGCGAUAAGGUUAAUAACCUUGUCGAUUGACGUUACCCGCAGAAGAAGCACCGGCUAACUCCGUGCCAGCAGCCGCGGUAAUACGGAGGGUGCAAGCGUUAAUCGGAAUUACUGGGCGUAAAGCGCACGCAGGCGGUCUGUCAAGUCGGAUGUGAAAUCCCCGGGCUCAACCUGGGAACUGCAUUCGAAACUGGCAGGCUAGAGUCUUGUAGAGGGGGGUAGAAUUCCAGGUGUAGCGGUGAAAUGCGUAGAGAUCUGGAGGAAUACCGGUGGCGAAGGCGGCCCCCUGGACAAAGACUGACGCUCAGGUGCGAAAGCGUGGGGAGCAAACAGGAUUAGAUACCCUGGUAGUCCACGCCGUAAACGAUGUCGACUUGGAGGUUGUGCCCCUGAGGCGUGGCUUCCGGAGCUAACGCGUUAAGUCGACCGCCUGGGGAGUACGGCCGCAAGGUUAAAACUCAAAUGAAUUGACGGGGGCCCGCACAAGCGGUGGAGCAUGUGGUUUAAUUCGAUGCAACGCGAAGAACCUUACCUACUCUUGACAUCCAGAGAACUUUCCAGAGAUGGAUUGGUGCCUUCGGGAACUCUGAGACAGGUGCUGCAUGGCUGUCGUCAGCUCGUGUUGUGAAAUGUUGGGUUAAGUCCCGCAACGAGCGCAACCCUUAUCCUUUGUUGCCAGCGGUUAGGCCGGGAACUCAAAGGAGACUGCCAGUGAUAAACUGGAGGAAGGUGGGGAUGACGUCAAGUCACCAUGGCCCUUACGAGUAGGGCUACACACGUGCUACAAUGGCGCAUACAAAGAGAAGCGACCUCGCGAGAGCAAGCGGACCUCAUAAAGUGCGUCGUAGUCCGGAUUGGAGUCUGCAACUCGACUCCAUGAAGUCGGAAUCGCUAGUAAUCGUGGAUCAGAAUGCCACGGUGAAUACGUUCCCGGGCCUUGUACACACCGCCCGUCACACCAUGGGAGUGGGUUGCAAAAGAAGUAGGUAGCUUAACCUUCGGGAGGGCGCUUACCACUUUGUGAUUCAUGACUGGGGUGAAGUCGUAACAAGGUAACC